UUUUUCUUUUCUCUAUCAAAAAGCCUUUUAUUUUUUUUGGUUUCGGUUUUGUUUUUUUACUUUCCCUUUGAAAACGUUUGAAAACGCAGCUAGGGCAUAUGCACAUCUUACCAUCCCGGCCACCAUUUUCACCGACAUUUGUCUCCCAUUCGCCGGCAUCGUCCUCGUCCAUUGUUGUGUCGGCAAGAGUCGUUCGAUUGAGAGCUACCAGAGACAGAGGAGACACACAAAAGGCAACGCCUUCCAUACCGUUUGCCGCCGUAACAAAAAAUGAAUAGGAUGGAUAGAUGACAGUGACCAGUGGGGGAAAGUGGUGGGAUUCUAUGCUGGAAUAUUGUUUUGAUUGACAGAUGGAGGAGGUUUCGCUUCUCACUGAUGCAGUUUCUCAGUCAAGAUUCAAGAAAAAUAGGAAAAAACAAAAUAAAAAUUUAAAAAAAAAAAACUGCAGAGGCAACUCCGCCAGGCGCUUCGUGAUUUUCGUCGAUCCAAAUUCAGUUAGGGAGAGAGAGAGAGAGAAUGGAGGCGUUACAGAGCCGAGUGGAAUCGUGGAUCAGGGAGCAGAGAGCGAAGAUCUUGAAGGUGUCGUGGGGACCACUGCAGUGGAGGAUGAAGUGGCCGUGGAACAGCGACGACAGAGAGCAGCGGAAGAAGCUUCAGCAGGAGUAUGAACGCCGCAAGAAGCAACUCCACGAUCUCUGCCUCGCCGUCAAGGCCGACUCUUUCUCCGACUUGCAGGACAUCCUCUGCUGCAUGGUCCUCUCCGAAUGCGUUUACAAGAAACCUGCUAGCGAAUUGGUUCGAGCGGUUAACAAAUUCAAGGCCGGUUUUGGAGGACAAAUUGUUUCUUUAGAGCGUGUCCAACCUUCUUCAGAUCAUGUUCCUCACAGGUAUUUGUUGGCAGAAGCAGGUGAUACUUUGUUUGCUUCCUUUAUUGGAACGAAACAGUACAAAUGGAGGAGGUUUCGCUUCUCACUGAUGCAGUUUCUCAGAUUGAUGAGCCAUUUUUACUGGCUAUAGUGGUAAUUGUGUGCUGAACUUCAACAAAUUCUGGUUCCAGGGAUAUACAUUGGUAUUAGCCAGGGCCAACUGGUAGAGGUAGAGGAACCAGAGCUAUGAAUCAAGGUAAGAAUGCCAAGCCAAUUGGUAGAGGUAGAGGAAGAGGGACCAGAGCUAUGAAUCAAGGUAAGAAUGCCAAGCCAAUUGGUGCUGGAGUUGGUGGACAGGGACACACAGGAUUGGACUUGCCAAUCGGAAAGUUGGUUGCUGUUCGUGAUGAAUUGGUUGCUCAAAAAAGUGCAGAAAAGUUGGCUGCUGCUGAGGAUGAGGGAAGCACAAGUCCACUUCCUGAAAGGAUACAGAUUGGCAACUCCCCAGUGUAUAAGUUGGAGCGGAAGCUGGGAAAAGGAGGUUUUGGACAAGUAUAUGUUGGAAGAAGGCUGACUGGAGGCAGCGGUUGCUCUGGGCCUGAUGCCUUUGAGGCUAUCUGAAGAGAUGGUUGCUUGUAUAGCAGUGGAGGCAAUAUCCAUUUUAUGUUUUCCUCCAGAAGGGAACUGUUCGCUAUGCAAGUGUCCAUGCUCAUUUAGGCAGGACAGGGAGCCGGAGAGAUGACCUUGAGUCUCUUGCUUAUACUUUAAUAUUUCUUCUUGGAGGAAAACUUCCCUGGCAAGGUUACAUUAGAGAGAAUAAAGGUUUUCUUGUUUGCAAGAAGAAGAUGACAACUUCUAUAAAUGAAUCUAGACAUUGGCUUAUCUUAUCCUACAAGUUGAGACACCAAAUUAAUAUAUCUAAUGAGGAUUAUUCUCUUAUAAUGUGCUUGACUUUUUACUGGCUAAAGAAGAAAACAGAUAUUGGUUGUGCUGAAAUUCCCUCUCAUUCAUAUCCUUAUUUCAUUUGACUGCAGAAAAGAAGAUGGGGUAGCUGCUGGAGUCUCGGAUCAUGGAGAAUGGGAGGAUCAGUGCUACCGAAAGCAUCGAUCCAUCACUCUUGGGUCAAUAAAGGAAUUCAAUUUUGACAGCACAAAGUCAGAAUUUUCAGAUAAGCCUACCAAUGGCUCAGAGUGGUGGGCUAAUGAAAAAGUAGCUGGAAAGGAAUCUAAGCCUGGCAACGGUUGGACUUUCUUUCCCAUUUUGCAGCCAGGAGUCAGCUAACAUAGAAAAUAUUUCAUCAUAGCUUCCCCUCUGUGAAAGGACUUUGAAAUCAAUUGGAUUUGCAACUGUAAAGCAGCUAACCCAUCUGUUGUAAAUCUGGAGUUAUACAAUUUUGAAGAUACGGCUACAGCUUGGCAAAACUUGGGAUCAAAUUGUUGUUGGAUGAAUGGAUGGAUUGCAGAGAUGAAAGAACUGCUUAUGAAUGUGUUAGGAGCAGAAACAAGAUGCAGAGAGGAGAUAAUUUUCUAGGAAUUAGUGUGAGUACUGAUAGAGCAUUCUUUGUAAUAUUUCUUGAUGUUAUACAAAGGGAUAGCAUUCGCUUAUAGGGGGUUUUGUUGUGGACUACUUUUUCUUGUAAUGUGUAACAAUAAAAAAAUGAAGAAGCUCAUAUUUCCACAUUUUUUAAAA